UGAGCGAGCGAGACUGAGCAAUGCAAGAUCAAGCGAUUCGUGUCGCUGCCACCGUCAUUGCGACGGUGAAGAUGCGGUGAAGUUUGCCAUAGAAGAACGAGAGCUAUCAGCCAGGCAGGCGGGCGGGCACAGCGCGACAGCGUCACGGAAAUCGGCCAUCUUGCUUAGUGCACGCUUAGCUCUCGUAACGUACAGUUGAGUUCGCUUCUGUCAACCACUCUUUUCGGGAGGUCGUGUGUGUGCGGGCGGUGGCAAAGCAGCAGCUCUCCAGGUGGUGCGCUGUAAGCACAUCGGAGUCACAGCUGUGGAGAAGAGAUAAAGAGAGAGAAAGAGAGUGUUGUGUGUGUGUGUGUGUGUGUGUGUGUGUGUGUACGUGCAUGCGUGCGUGUUAAUACGAGCGGUGUAACGCAAAUUACGCGACGAUGUCGGGCAACACGGGUAUGGAACAGUUGAUCCCGAUCGUGAACAAGCUGCAGGAUGCGUUCACACAGCUCGGUGUGCAUAUGCAGCUCGAUCUGCCGCAGAUCGCUGUGGUGGGUGGUCAGAGUGCGGGCAAGAGCUCUGUGCUUGAAAACUUCGUCGGCAAAGAUUUCUUGCCAAGAGGUUCAGGCAUCGUGACAAGAAGACCUCUCAUCUUACAAUUGAUUAAUUGCCCAACUGAAUAUGCAGAGUUUUUGCAUUGUAAAGGUAAGAAAUUUGUAGAUUUUGAUGAGGUACGGAAAGAAAUUGAAGGAGAAACAGACAGAGUGACCGGAAGUAACAAGGGCAUUUCUAAUAUACCAAUUAAUCUCAGAGUAUAUUCACCCAACGUCUUAAAUUUGACAUUAAUUGAUUUACCUGGACUUACAAAAGUACCAAUUGGAGAUCAGCCAGCAGAUAUAGAAGCCCAAAUUAAAGCCAUGAUCUUUCAAUUUAUCAAACGUGAAAAUUGUCUCAUAUUGGCAGUCACACCAGCCAAUACUGAUUUAGCUAAUAGCGAUGCUCUUAAACUUGCUAAAGAAGUGGAUGCACAAGGUGUUCGUACAAUUGGUGUUAUUACUAAACUGGAUCUUAUGGAUGAUGGCACUGAUGCAAGAGAUAUUUUGGAAAAUAAAUUAUUGCCAUUGAGGAGAGGUUAUAUUGGUGUUGUUAACAGAAGUCAAAAGGAUAUAGAAGGACGAAAGGAUAUAAAAAAUGCUUUAGCCGCUGAGCGAAAGUUUUUUCUCAGCCAUCCAUCUUAUCGUCAUCUAGCAGACAGAUUGGGUACUCCAUAUUUGCAGAGAGUUCUCAAUCAACAAUUAACAAAUCAUAUCAGGGAUACCUUGCCAGCUCUAAGAGAUAGAUUACAAAAGCAACAGUUAACUUUAGAGAAAGAUGUCGAACAGUACAAACAUUUCAGGCCUGAUGAUCCUGCAAUCAAAACAAAGGCUAUGUUACAGAUGAUACAGCAGCUUCAAUCAGAUUUCGAGAGAACUAUAGAAGGUUCAGGUUCAGCACAAAUUAAUACUAUGGAACUCAGUGGUGGUGCGAAAAUCAACAGACUUUUCCAUGAGCGUUUCCCGUUCGAAAUUGUUAAAAUGGAAUUUGAUGAAAAAGAAUUAAGAAAAGAAAUUGCUUUCGCCAUCAGAAAUAUACAUGGUAUCAGGGUGGGGUUGUUUACCCCAGACAUGGCUUUCGAGGCAAUAGUCAAAAAACAAAUAAAUAGACUUAAAGAACCAAGUCUCAAGUGUGUAGACUUAGUCGUGCAAGAACUUAGUAAUGUUGUACGCACUUGUACAGAUAGGAUGUCACGUUAUCCCAGACUAAGAGAAGAAACGGAACGUAUCAUAACGACAUACAUCAGGCAGCGCGAACAAAUGUGUAAAGAGCAACUGAUCUUGUUGGUGGAUUGCGAACUCGCAUACAUGAAUACGAAUCAUGAAGAUUUCAUCGGUUUUGCGAACGCUGCAACCAGUAGCCAUAAUGCAAGUGCACAGCAAUCCUCGGAGAAUGCUGUUAAAUCUGGGCGGCACACAUUAGGCAAUCAAGUAAUUCGUAAAGGUUACAUGUGCAUACAUAAUCUCGGUAUUAUGAAGGGUGGCUCGAGAGAUUACUGGUUUGUUUUAACAUCAGAAAGUAUCUCCUGGUUUAAGGAUGAAGAAGAACGUGAAAAGAAAUAUAUGUUGCCUUUGGAUGGACUGAAAUUGCGUGAUUUAGAACAAGGUUUCAUGUCGCGUCGUCAUCUGUUUGCAUUAUUCAAUCCAGAAGGAAGAAAUGUUUAUAAGGAUUAUAAACAAUUGGAGUUAAGUUGUGAAACACAAGAUGAUGUUGACUCUUGGAAGGCGUCAUUCCUGAGGGCUGGUGUAUAUCCCGAAAAAUCAACAGAGCAAGCAAAUGGUGAAGAGGAAGGAUAUGAGGGCGGUUCAGAGGGUCAAUCAUCAAUGGAUCCUCAACUGGAGCGUCAAGUGGAAACUAUUAGAAAUUUAGUAGAUUCUUAUAUGAAGAUUGUCACGAAAACUACUCGCGAUCUGGUUCCAAAGACAAUUAUGCAUCUUAUUAUUAAUAACGCUAAGGAUUUCAUCAAUGGGGAACUGUUGGCACAUCUUUACGCAAGUGGCGAUCAGGCUUCAAUGAUGGAAGAAUCUCCUGAAGAAGCGCAGAAGCGAGAGGAAAUGUUACGCAUGUAUCAUGCAUGCAAAGAGGCUCUUCGUAUCAUUGGAGAUGUCUCUAUGGCCACAGUUUCAACUCCAGUACCACCACCCGUGAAGAACGAUUGGCUGAUAUCCGGCGACAACCCAAGUCUUGGAUUAUCGCCACCAUCUCCUGGUGGUCCAAGACGUGGAGUGACACAGCCACCACCUAUUUCUAGCUCUCGAGCACCACCACCAGUACCUGGAAGCGGCCGACCAGCACCAGCCAUUCCUAAUAGACCUGGUCCAGGUGGACCACCACCAACGCGAGCUAAUCCUGGCCUACCUCCACCUAUGAUACCAUCUCGAGGGGGUGGUCUACAGCAGAGGAUAACGCAAGCUGCGACACAGGCUGCGACACAGGCUGCUGUGAACGAGCUGAUGGAUGCGUUCAAGAUCAAUAAGAGCACGAAUUGAGGCGUACGGGAUUACACCCGUAAUGAGCACGACAUCCUCGUGGUUGUAUUAUCAUCUGUGCGAGAAAAUGAAGAAGAACAGGCGGAGGAGGAGCAGGAGGAGGAAGAAGUUAUGAGGAGAGAGAAGAGAAAGAGGAGGAGGAGAAGGGGGAAGUGGAUAACAGUGGCGAAAUUUCGGUGAUGGAAUCCGACAAUAUCGCGGAGUUAGAAGAGACGCAAGAAGCUUUGGAGAAGACGCGAAUGAAAAA
rnacentral:misc_RNA from 1 species